UAAUUCCGCGGUCACACUGUCACACGCUAAAAACAACUUCGCGGAUCGCCGUCCGAUUUUAAUUGGGAAAUAAAUGAAUUAAUCACCAUUAAUGUUGGUAAUGUAGAAAAACGGAAAUGUUACUAAUAACAGCCACACGCAAACGCGCUAGAAUGUGCGGUUGAACCACUGUGAUCCGUGGCAGCGACACGCAGCACUGCGGCGGCGGCGAAAAGUCUAACAGAAAAAGAAGAGAAAAACGAAGAAAAGAAAAAAUUAAACAAGUUUUCGUGAUGCGGUGGCCGUUGGAAAUUUGCGUUUAAAGGAGAUAGCUACAUCUGCGCCCAGCCCAGCCGUAAGCAAAAGUGCAAUCAAACAAUAUAACAAAAAUGAUAAACAAAAUCCGAUAUGGAGUCGAUUUUAAAGCAGUAAUUGUGUCGUGAGUGUGAGUGAGAGUGAUGAGUGUGUGUGCGUGUUGUGAGUGCGUUUUGUGUCUGUGCUGUACUGUGUGUAAAUGAAGUGUUGAAGUGGCGGCAGAGGCAGCAGCGGCUGCAGUGUGUUGGCCAAGCCCAAAACGAACGAAAAUUAAGCCAAACGCAAAUUAAAUAUAUAUGAAAAAAGUUAUAAACAUAAGUGUAAGCCAAGCAGCAUACCAGGCACCCGCACCAGCACAUUGAAACAGCAGCAGGAGCAGCAACAUCACAGCACACGCACAGGGAGCGGCAUCUUUUUUGGUGGCUGAAGGCGGAGACGGACGACGGACGGGGCGCAAUGACCGAGGAAUUGAAAGUGGUGCUGCGGCGCAGCGAACAGCAUUCCGGUUUCGGAUUUUCGCUGCUUGGAUCAACUGGACCGCCACAUGUCAUCUACGACAUUGUGGAGAAUUCGCCGGCAGCCGAUUGCGGAUCGGUUGAAGCCGGGGAUGUCAUCCUCAAAGUCAACGGAACCGAUGUCCAUCGCUAUACAACGAAGGAAGUUCUCAAAUGCCUGCGUCUGUCGGAACAGUUGGUGACCUUGGAGCUGAAGCGAGAUCCCAAGCUUAAGGCACGCAUUAAAGAGCAGCUGGCCAACACACAGAGUCCACACUAUGUAGAUAUUGAAUCUCCCAACAUCUACGACUACAACAGCAGCCACAGCGCUAAUUCCUCGCCCAACCAUCGUCCGAACAACAGCAAGGGAUCUUCUCCAGCAGCCAGCGGACUGCGCUUCAAGUCGCCCACACACUUGCCAUCGCUGCGGCAGAACUCCUCGCCGCUGCUGGCCAGUGGAUCCACCACAACGACCACCCACACACACAGCCGCAACUCUUCGGCCAGCUCCACCAAGAUAAAAGUGGUGGAGACCACCGUUCAGACGACAUCAACCAUCACCACUAGUGCAGCACCAACAUCGCCUACGGGCUCGGACGCCACCUCGCCGACGCACCGACCCUCACGCAUUCCACAGGCGCGAAAGUGCCCAGCGCCCAAGCCCGUGCCCGUGCUGCAUUCGCCACAGAACAAGCGGCCACGAUCCUCCCAGAUACCCACAAAGGCAUCGAACGGUAACGGCAACGGGAACGGUAACGGAAGUGCACACAACUCCCAGCUGCCACCGCAAUCGUUGCAGCACUCGAACAGCUACAGCGGCAGUCCCGUCGCCCGGCCGCGAAUCUCUACGGAGCGAGAGCCGAACACAGACAGGGAGCCAGAACCGAACUCGGCGCCACCGCAGCCGGCGAAGGCGCCACGCUUUGAGGCUUACAUGAUGACGGGUGAUUUGAUCUUGAAUCUGUCCAGGACACCACAGACCAGCAAUCACCUAACGACCCAGGCCAAGAAAGUUGACAGUCUGAGGGAUUCGCCGAUUCGUCUGCCCAAUUCCCGGAUCAAUGGCGCCCUAGCGCCACGAGCAUCGGGCGAAUCAUCGCCCACAUCCUCUUCCUCGGUGGACUCACCCACCAACACCAGCUCGGAUUCGGUGAAGCGUGAGGCGAAGCUGCAACGCAAACAGCUGCCGCAGCAGCAGCACCAGCAGCAGCAGCGGGACAGCAUCAACAACAGCUACAACCGCAAGGAUUCGCUCACAAAUGACACGCUGUUGAUGUGCGAGGAGCUGGAGCGGGAUGAGGAGGGUGAAUAUGUCCUGGAGGAGGACAGCAAGCACCAGCGACAACGUCAACAACAGCAGCGCUAUCGCCAGCAGCAGCAACAGCAACGAUACGAGUACUACCAGAACGAGGAUGAGCUGGACGAGGAGCAGGAGCAGGAGGUGGAAGCAGAGGCGGAGGAGGAGCGCGAGGAGGAUCAGACCCACUACGACAUCACCAACAUAGAGACGUACCAGAGCGGGAUGGGACGCGGCGAUGAGGAUGACAGCGAUCGGCAGUGUCUGGUCGAGGACGACGAUGAUGAUGAUGAUGCCUACGACGAGGAAGAUAACGAUGCCGGUGACGAGGAUUACUCGACAAAUUCGCUGGGCUCCGGCUCUACGAAGCAGCGACUGCGUGCCCUCAAGCAGCGUGCGGCAACGCGACAGCAGCAGCUGCGCAAUCGAGAUGCUGUCGAUUGUGCGGCUCGUAUGCCCGGCUACUCUGCCUCGGGCUCCACCUCGUCCGCAACGGUAAAGAGCGAGGCGGGCGGCGGCAUGCCAAUGGGCGUUGGCCUGGGCGCAGCCAAUACCUCGCAGGACGAGACCUCCUUCUCAGUGCCAACAUCACCCAUUUCACUGUCGACGCCUCUGAUCGACAAGGAGACGGCCAAUUCGGUGCCCACCAGCCCGGAGCCGAGCUCUUUGGCCCCAGAGUCGAGUAGCGGGGCCGCUGGUGUCGUUGUUGUGCGACGCCAUCACAAUGGGCAUGUGGUGCGCAAAUGUGAUGCCGCCGGCUUCCGCACCAGCAAGUCCGAGGAUCAUCUGCAGCAGAUCCAGCGCGAGGGCAUUGCGGCUGUGAUACCCAUCGACAUUGAUGAGGAUGUGAAUAGUUCACUCAAUACGCUGCUGGACACGCGUCAGGACUCCGAGGACUCGCAGUCGACGGCCACCACUGUCUCGUCGGUGGCGACCAUUGUCCACAACUCGUCGGCGUUGAACAACAACGAGAACGAGAAUGAAAUUGAAAGUGAACCGCUUAAUAGCUGCAACAACAACAGUCCCACAACUACACCAGCAAUAGGGAACAACAAUAGCAGCGAGAGCACCGAGGCCGAGAUCGAGAGCGAGUGCGAAAGCAGUAUGGCAACAGCAACUGUAACGAUAGAAACGACUGCAGCGAGAACUAACAAGAAGAUGAUCAGCGGCGGAAACUGCAGCAACAAAUUAAACUAUAUCCUAUGCAAAAAGGCAUCGGAUCGAGAUCGGAUUGUGUGGACCUAUAAUGCACCACUGCAGCCACAUCAGUUGCAGCAGAUCCAACAGCAGCAGGCGCAGCAACAGCUCCAGCAACAGCAGCAGCAACAGUUAAUAUUUCAACAGCAGCAGCAGCAGCAACAUCAUCAGCAACAACAGCAGCAACUCUACGGUCAGCAAUCGCAUUCAAAUUCACAUUCAAGUUCCAUUAGUUCGUCGCCGCAGCAUUCGGCUGCAGGCAGUCCGGCCUCCCCCACAUCGGUGUCCUCGUCGGUGAUGUCCUCAUCGGGAUCGAAGGGUGCCCUAGGUGGCAAUGGUCAGGCAGUGGACCAACAGCAGCAGCAUCGAGAAAAUGGCGGACAAGCCUUCUUGCAGCCGCCCACUGGCAUGCCCUGUCUGCUAACCUGUCCAGGGGCUGGCAAUGGUGCUGGCGGCGGUGGUGGUGGUGCUAGUGGUUGUGGCAACGAUUUGAGCGUCUCAGAGGCCAUUUCGAAUAUAUCUAGUCCCGACUACCAAGACGACGAUAACUUAUUGAGUUCUCGCGAUAUUCUAGGCGGCAUGGUACUUAGCGAUCCCAGUGACUCGGACUCCACCAUACUCGUCUCGGAUGGGGCCGCCCUGCAGCGCCAGCAGCUCAAACAGCAGCUGCGUGCCCAGCAGCAGCAGACUCGGGAAAGGGACAGAGAUCAGUCGGAGCACAAGGUGGUCAUCCAAGUGCGAGGAAUGGACAACAACGGCGGUGGCAGUGCGGCUCGGUCCGAUGACGAUGUGGUCACGCUGGCGGAUGAGCAGCCGCAUACAACGAUGUCGUCGGGUGCGGGGGCAGGGGCGCACGGUGUGCGAGACGCGUCCCCACCCGUUUCCGAUGAUGGCAGCGAUGUGGAAUCGCUGCACUCCUACCAUUACUCGCCCAAGGCUGUAGACAUGCCCUCGGCCAUACGCCUGGCCAAAAGACUGUAUUCUCUCGAUGGUUUCAAGAAAAGCGACGUCUCCCGACACCUCAGCAAGAACAACGACUUUAGCAGGGCGGUCGCCGAUGAGUAUCUAAAGCAUUUCACUUUCGAGAAAAAGUCGUUGGAUCAGUCACUGCGCGAGUUCCUGCAACAGUUCUCGCUGUCCGGCGAGACCCAGGAGCGAGAGCGGGUCCUAGUGCACUUCUCGAAGCGUUUUCUGGACUGCAAUCCGGGUACAUUCAACUCUCAGGAUGCGGUGCACACACUGACCUGUGCCAUUAUGCUGCUGAACACGGAUCUGCAUGGCCAGAAUAUGAAUCGCAAGAUGAGCUGUGCGGAAUUUGUCGACAAUCUGGCAGAUCUCAACGAUGGCGAGAACUUUCCCAAGGAUAUACUCAAGUUAUUGUAUCAGGCCAUCAAAACGAAGCCGCUGGAAUGGGCUCUAGAUGACGAUGCGGGUGAUCUGCAGCAGCGCACUGCCAACAAUGCACUGGGAAAUGUUGGACAGAAUCCCUUCCUGGAUGCACCCGAACUGGCCACCGCGGUGGAGUACAAGAAGGGCUAUGUGAUGCGCAAAUGCUGCUACGAUAGCAGCUACAAAAAGACUCCCUUUGGUAAACGCUCCUGGAAGAUGUUCUACUGCACGCUGCGUGAUCUUGUACUAUAUUUGCAUAAGGAUGAGCAUGGUUUUCGUAAGAGUCAAAUGUCCGACAAUCUGCACAAUGCAAUACGAAUACAUCACGCCCUGGCCACCAAGGCCAAUGAUUACACCAAGAAGCAACAUGUGUUCCGUCUGCAGACGUCCGAUCAGGCCGAGUAUCUCUUCCAGACAAGCGACUCCAAGGAGCUCCACUCGUGGGUCGAAACGAUCAACUAUGUGUGCGCGGCCAUUUCGGCGCCACCACUGGAGGGCGGUGUGGGCAGCCAGAAGCGAUUCCAGCGACCACUCUUGCCCAGCAAGCAGACCAAACUAUUGGUGAAGGAGCAGUUGGAGUCGCACGAGGUGCAGCUGGCGCAGCUAGAGCAGGAGCUCAACGAGCACAAGAAGGGCCCGAUACCCAGCAAAGGAUUGCCACUGCAGAACUACAAGGAAAAGGAGAGCUAUUUGCAAUAUGAACUUCGUCGUUACCGCACGUAUGUGAGCAUACUCAGCGCCAAAAUGCUGGCCGAUCAGCAGCAAUUGGAGCUGCAGGCGCAGCAGCCGGCGCAGGCAAUCCUUGACGAAGAAGCUGACACAUUCCCUGUGGGCACCAGCUGCACGCCCACCACUACGCCAAGUAUUAACAUUCAGGAGCAACAGCAGAAGGAGCAACGGCAGCAACAGUCAUCGAACAGAUGGCUCGAUGUCUUCUGCUGCUGUAGCGUGCUCUGGCGGCAUUUCUACCAUUCCAAAAGCCUUUAAACGAGUAGUUGCCUCUUGCCUGGAGGCUAGCGAUCCGCGGACAGCAGUCCAACGAAGGUGCUUCUCUCUGAAAAUGACCCGAUCAGUACUCCUCCUACUAGCUAAAACCCGUCUUGAAUGUGAGCAAGCUAUAGGCUACAAAUAUCUCAAUGUUUUAUUGCUUACUCGUCAGUGUCUAGUUUGGCUCCACAUCUGUAUAUCGAACAUUUCAGAACAUUCUUUGUUUGUUGAUUGUUAAUUUUGGUUUUCAUUCUACACUUGCAGAAAGGAGAAGAAAUUCGCUUAAUUACUUUUCGUUUCGCUCUUGAUUUCGAUCAUAUCAACACUGCAAAACAAAAGACAAACACCACAUACACAUCCGUAUCCGCCUCUAGUUGGCAGUUGAGAUGAAGCAGUGAUGCAAUACCCAUGAAUAUAGAAUACUCCGAAUAUGCCAAGCUGCCACACUACACCACACCGCACCACACACUCGCAUAAUCAGCACUCAUGCAGCAGGGAGCGGGAGCGGUAUAGAGAGGCUCCAACCACACACCCACCCACCCAAUCACACACACACACACUCACGGGUUCCGGCUGUGCCGUGCCGUGCCGUGCGGCACCCACUCAACAAAAAAAAAAAACAAAAAUCUGCCAAUACAUAUAUCCUACUUUACCGAUCGAAUGAUUCCAAGUGCCGGAUCUUAAGGCUAAGCGGAAGAUCACAUUGAGAUGAUUAAGACUACAAAUACGAACCCAAUUUGUAAUCGAAUUUGUUAACUGUAUGAGAUGGUUUUAUGUACUAUGUAAUCUGAAUGGUCGUUCAACAGAGAUAUUGGCAUUUAGCAAUUCGAUUUGGAUUCGUUUGGCCAAAGAUUCUGCUGAACGAUCGUUUAUGAACGUGAGAGCGAAUCGCUUUACACAUAGAUUAUAAUUACGAGAAUUGAUAUACAAUACUUACAUCAUUACCUAUGCUAUCAUUAUAAAUGAUAAAAAUAAAUUAUAAAUUAUUGAACAAUUUCGCUACACACACACCACACACAUUACACCACACACACGCACCACACACGAAAACAACUGAAGAAAAGUAACAAUAAAGCGAUGAGAGAGGAUAAGAGGAGCACAUUUAGCUAUCAUUGUCAUAAACAAUUUCGUACAUAUAUCAUACAUAAUCGUACAUAGCACACAUAUGCUUCUCAUAUAUGUAUGACUCGUUCAUUGGCCUUUUUGCGAUACAAUUAUCCUCCUAUUUGAUCUGUGUAGGAAACAAAGCAAAACACAACUUACUCCAAUAUUAUGAGCGGAUGAGUAAUAUUUAUUUGAGCAAUUAUUGGUUGAUUACGCCACAUGUCCAUGUAGCUAGAAUAUGAAAUUUGAUAUUUGAUGGGGAAACAAUAAAUCUAAACAAAAACAAAAGCAUACAUAUUAUAUAGUAUAUAUAUUUUUGAAUAUAUUAUUACGAGUAAAUUUAAUUGUAUUGUGUAAUUAUGUAAAUGCAAACUGUAUAACAUUGUUUAUAAUAAUUUUUAACAAUUCUAAUGAAAAGGCAAUAAAUUCGAAAAUACCAACUAACUGAAGCGAACGAAUGCUCGCCCGCUAAGCCAAGUGCCGCCUAAAUGUAUGCAUAUUGUAUAUUAAUUUAGUUACAACAUUUUAAACGGCUCGGCGAGGGCACCCCUCACACUCACUCACUCACUCAAACACUUAGUUUUAAAGCAAUACGAGUACUAUCCACGUACCCCCAAUCCCUUUGAACUCCAAAAAACAUACAUACACACUCACACACACACGAGCAUUCUCAUCUAAGAACUUCAGAACAUAUUACGAA